rnacentral:tRNA from 13 species
AGGGGGCACCCGGGUCUGAACCGGGGACCUCUCGAUCUGCAGUGCUCAAUGCUCUACCACUGAGCUAUACCCCC